AAGUCGUAACAAGGUCUCCGUAGGUGAACCUGCGGAGGGAUCAUUACAGAGUUCAUGCCCUUACGGGUAGAAUUCCCACCCUUGUAUAUCUUACCUUUGUUGCUUUGGCAGGCCGUAGGGUUCGCCCUGCUACCGGCUCCGGUUGGUAAGAGCCUGCCAGAGGACCCCAAACUCUGAAUAUUAGUGUCGUCGGAGUACUAUAUAAUAGUUAAAACUUUCAACAACGGAUCUCUUGGUUCUG
rnacentral:misc_RNA from 1 species